rnacentral:rRNA from 1 species
UACGUAGGGUGCAAGCGUUGUCCGGAAUUAUUGGGCGUAAAGAGCUCGUAGGCGGUUUGUCGCGUCUGCUGUGAAAACUCGGGGCUUAACUGUGAGCGUGCGGGCGAUACGGGCAGACUUGAGUACUGCAGGGGAGACUGGAAUUCCUGGUGUAGCGGUGGAAUGCGCAGAUAUCAGGAAGAACACCCGUGGCGAAGGCGGCUCUCUGGGACGGUACUGACGCUGAGACGCGAAAGCGUGGGGAGCGAACAGG